rnacentral:rRNA from 1 species
GACGAACGCUGGCGGCGUGCUUAACACAUGUAAGUCGAACGGAAAGGCCCUGCUUUUUUGUGGUUCUCGAGUGGCGAACGGGUGAGUAACACGUGAGUAACCUGCCCUUUACUUUGGGAUGACUUCAGGAAACUGGGGUUGAUACCACAUAAUAGCUCCUGCUGCAUGGUGGGGGUUGGAAAGGUUCGGCGGUUGGGGAUGGACUCCCGGCUUAUCAGCUUGUUGGUGGGGUAGUGGCUUACCAAGGCUUUGACGGGUAUCCGGCCUGAGAGGGUAAACGCGCACCUGGGGACUGAGGUAGGCAGCAGACGCCAACGGUGGGCAGUAGUCGGGAGUCUGACACAGUGGUGGCGAGCGUAAUGAAACAACGCCGGGUUCGGAAAGAAGGCCUUCGGGUUGUAAACCGAUUACGGCUGUGACGAAGCGUGAGUGACGGUACUGGGUAAAGAAGCACCGGCUAACUCCGUG